UCCUCCCUGACUGUUCCACCUGCCUGCAGUCUGAUUGCAGCAAUGAGAAUCAGCUGCCGUAAUUGGCUCACACCAGUCACCUGUUUGCAAUUCCACCUCCCAGCAUAUAAGCCAGCUCUGUCAUUCACUCCCUGCUCCACCACGGACGCGCACAUCCUGCGUCGACUCGUGACCACCAGAGCUUCUUGGACACGACGCUGCCCUCGUACCCCUGCCGGUUCCUGUUUGGGUUUCCUACCUACCCCUUCAGCUGAGUUUCUUCCCGUGGCCCUUCCUCCCUGACUGUUCCACCUGCCUGCAGUCUGAUUGCAGCAAUGAGAAUCAGCUGCCGUAAUUGGCUCACACCAGUCACCUGUUUGCAAUUCCACCUCCCAGCAUAUAAGCCAGCUCUGUCAUUCACUCCCUGCUCCACCACGGACGCGCACAUCCUGCGUCGACUCGUGACCACCAGAGCUUCUUGGACACGACGCUGCCCUCGUACCCCUGCCGGUUCCUGUUUGGGUUUCCUACCUACCCCUUCAGCUGAGUUUCUUCCCGUGACCAUCUGCUACAAAGCAUUACCGGGUAACAAAUACACCUGAUGAAGAUCAGAAAUAUUCAAGCAGAAACCUUCAGCUUCCACGAAGGUGGAAAUCAUUCUGCCAUGAAGACCUAACAACCUUCAAAGACAAUUUGAAAAUGGGAAGAAGCGCUGCGUCACUCUGCGAAGCGCUGCGUCACUCUGCGAAGCGCUGCGUCACUCAACUCAACUCAACUCAACUCAACUCAACUCAACUCAACUCAACUCAACUCAACUCAACUCAACUCAACUCAACUCAACUCAACUCAACUCAACUCAACUCAACUCAACUCAACUCAACUCAACUCAACUCAACUCAACUC